GAUGACUACCAUUUGCAGUGACUGAUGAGUCUAAAGCUGAUCUUGUCGGGUUAUUUGCUAAAGAAUUUCCAAGUUUAGUCCGAUUUUUCUCAUCAAAAUCCAUCAACUUCAUAAUAUCCGUUACUAGUAUUAAUCGUUGAAAUUUAAAGGUCGAGCAACUCAAGAUGAGGUGGGAUAAGUCGGCCUCAUUUCCUCCACAAUUCAGUCACAUAUCUAUAUAUUUGUGAAGUAUAAAGGUUAUACAGGAUUGGAGAUAAAGAAGACCCUUGCAUCAACCCCUUGAAUGCUAAUUUUGGACCAUGAAAAACAUUAUUGUAUUUAAUGCAUAAAGAACGACCAUAAUACAUAUGGAAAAUCCAUUUUAAAAGCUUUCCUGGGAAGCCCAAGGAAUAUAGCACCCUAAUUAAUUGGAGAAGAUCUACAUUAUCAUAUGCCCCCUGAACAUCAAGGAAAACACAAAUUGCAGUAGAACCUGAUAACAAACACUUCUUCAUAUCAGUCAGAAACAUGUAGAUUUUGAAGCAUAAUAUAAGGAAUAUCGUCAAGACCAGGGGUUGUAUUCUUUCUUGAAGACAAAGCCAUGUCAAGUUCUUCAAAACAAAAAGACCUCGGCACAAGUAUCAUUCCACCAAGGAGCUGGAGGAGCAGACUUUUUACUAGAAGAUUUAUGCUUUAACAAUGGAACACAGUUUUCUUUUAAACUAAGUAGUAAUUUAGAAAAUUCAUCAUAUUGAACUAAAGGAUCAAUUGUUGAAGGAGAAAAUUUAUCAAAUAUAUCUUUGGAUUUGUCAUUGUACAUA